AGUAAAUUUCGCUUGAUCUCUCUCAAUCAUGUACCAAUGGAGCGUCGUCUCACUGAAAUCCAGAUGGGUGAUCUGAUUUGUUGAAAGCAGUGCCUUGAUUUCAUCUUUCGCAGCAGCGCCUCGUUGUGAGGGCAUACUCAAUCUACCACUAACGCCGCCGGUGGCACUAUCCAACUACAGCAGCUCAAGGAUCUAGAUCUAGAUGGGGUGUCACUCCAAAGUUUGGCUUGGCUCAUUACUAUGUUGGAAGGUCAUUAUGGAGUCUUAUUGCCUGGAGCUGGUAAAUCUGUUGAAGAUGCGGACCACGAACAGGGCUGCAAUUCUUCAUGUUCUUAUGCAAAUCAGAAGCUGCUUUUGACAUUGACAAGGCAGCUGCAGUGAAGAAUGACAUAUCAAGAUUACUUACAUACAUAUUGUCAGGCCACAUAAGCCUCUUCCGCGACCACUCAUUGGCAGAUUCAGGACCAUCUUUCAUGCUCCAACAAUAGUUUGCCUUUGAUCUUCAAAUCGAUUAGUUGAAGGCAUGACCGGAUAAUCUUCAGAGUAGGAGUCAUCUUCAUAUGUCUCCUAGUUGGCAGCUCAUGAAACUGAUAAUGUCACCUCCCAUACUAGUACAGAUCAUGUCUGGUUGUCUCAGACUCCGAUUUUUCUGGAACCAUGUAAUCAGCAAGAAAGUACACUUGGUAACAAAAUUUAGUAUGCGGCUUGUUUGUAGUUUAGAAGGGCGGUUGCUGUACAAUUGAUGUGUAUGCUUGUGAUGUCUCAAUGUAAAAGAUGUGAUGUUCUUCCAUGGAAGCUUCUAAAGAUCUUUGGUUUAGUUGCAAAACAACAUCUGCUUCUCUGAUACUUUUUUUAGGAAAGAGGCCA